AGUGAACGCUGGCGGUAGGCCUAACACAUGCAAGUCGAACGGCAGCACAGUAAGAGCUUGCUCUUACGGGUGGCGAGUGGCGGACGGGUGAGGAAUACAGCGGAAUCUACUUUUUCGUGGGGGAUAACGUAGGGAAACUUACGCUAAUACCGCAUACGACCUACGGGUGAAAGCAGGAGAUCUUCGGACCUUGCGCGAUUGAAUGAGCCGGUGUCGGAUUAGCUAGUUGGCGGGGUAAAGGCCCACCAAGGCGACGAUCCGUAGCUGGUCUGAGAGGAUGAUCAGCCACACUGGAACUGCGACACGGUCCAGACUCCUACGGGAGGCAGCAGUGGGGAUUAUUGGACAAUGGGCGCACGCCUGAUCCAGCCAUACCGCGUGGGUGAAGAAGGCCUUCGGGUUGUAAAGCCCUUUUGUUGGGAACGAAAAGCAGCAGGUUAAUACCCCGCUGUUCUGACGGUACCCAAAGCCUAAGCACCGGCUAACUUCGUG
rnacentral:rRNA from 1 species